rnacentral:lncRNA from 10 species
AUGUUGUUUCAACAUUGGGAAACCUGUAUGGUGAUGGAGUUACAUUUACCCUAGUUGAUCUACAACCAUCCAUGGCCUAGUUUUUAAGGUAAGAACUUCAUUCUAAACAAAGUACACCACCCCAUAUCCCCCAGACUCUCCAGUCUGUAUCAGUUACUACUUAUAAUUCCUUCAGUCUGCCUUACUAUUUGCCAACAAAGUGACCUUGCCUUCAAGCUUCAAAAUAGCCUCCUCAAUAUCUAGCAUUAGUUCAUUUUCUUUCAUUUGGAACAGGUAAGAGUGCUUUGAGAAUCAUUAUUUGCAGGGACUCAACUUUGCUCUAUUAGAAAAUUUUUAUUAGUAAAUUUCUUAUACUUAGCUCAUAGGAAAUAUGUCUGAAACCCAAGUUUGCAAUUUAUCAUGUAUGUUAGGAUAAAUAUUUGAAAGUUUACAAUUGUCAUUACAUUUUUAGAGUAACAACCAUAAGAGGCUCAGAACACACAAUUGUGUUUGAAGUGGUUAGUUUCAUAACCCCAAGUUGCAAACCGUACCCUCCACUUGCACCCAGACUCGUUAACAGAUCCAAGAGCAGCCUGAAUUAAAAAAAAAAAAAAAGAAGUAUGCUGUAAUAGCAAAAAAAAAAAAAAAAAAAAGAGUAUAUGCAGAGGCAAAAAAAUUUUUACUUAUAUUGCUGCCAUUAAAUAUCCUCAUCCUUCCCCCCCAAAAAAAGAAAAGGUUUUUUUUCUCUCUUGAGGUUCACAGAUUAGACAGAAAUUUUUUGUGGGAAUUAUGCAAGAGUUGAAA